CCCCCCCCCCCCCUCGCACCUGCCGGCGCCUGAGAACCAAAGGAGGGGGCUGGGAGUGGGGACGGGAAUGGGGAUGGGAGUGGAGUUGGGGCUGGGGCUGGGACUGAGCCCCGCCCCUUGGCCGCGCAGAGAGAUGACGUCACGCCAGCCCCUCUCCACUCACCUGGAGCGGCCGGCAGCCGGAAUAAAAAAAAAAACCCGCACAAAAAACUCCGUUGGCGGCUCGCGCGAAGUGAUGACGCCACGCCGCUUGCGGCCUCCGCUGCGCGCUGACGUCACCCUGCGGGCGUCCUUGCCCACCAGGAUUGUGACGCUCGCUUGCGAGAGGACCAGCGCGCGUGGAGCGCGGCGGGGCUUCCUGAAGUCGGUGUGACACCAGCCAGCAGGGAGCGUGGCUUUGGGCUCCCGUGUCCGGAACAAGGGGCGCCUGGGCCGACGGUGGCGCCGAGACCGCCUGCAGUUGGGGUUGGGUAGCUCCCCAGGGCAAUAUCUCUUGCCAAUGCCUUCUCACCAGCAAUAUUUUCUGAUUGGACCUGGAGGUCAGUGUGCAAGAGAGGAUUAGAGGAAGUCCACACUGGUCAGCAUUCUGGGGAACAGAGCAAGACACAGAAAAACAAACACCAAAAAAAAUCCCCCACAAACAUACCUUUGGGUGAGGAUUUUUAAAAAGGGAUAAAGUACUGAUAUGUGUGCAACAUGGAUGGAUUUAAAAAUACGCUAAAUAAAGGAAGUAAUGUACAAAAGGCCACCUAUUGUAUGAGCCCCGUCCCCGCCCCCUGCCUUUAAAUGGAAUAUACAAAAUAGGCAAAUAAGGAGACAGAAAAUGGAUUAGAGGUUGAUAGGGACUGGAGGAAGGGCAAAUGGGAUUGCUUGCUAAUGUGUAAAGGUUUCUUUUGGUGACAGAAAUGUUUGGAAUGAGAUAAUGGUGAUUGUUGUACAACAUGGUAAAUAUACUACAAACUGCUGAAAUCAAGAUGCAUCAUACCAGGAAACUGAUGACUGGGAAGAGGUUCUGUGGGAUAUUCAUAUACAGCCUUGCAUUGGUUUGUGUAUCAAUCUGUUCUGGCUAUGUAUGGUGUCAGAUGGGUACUAGAUUUACCAGGGUCACUUGGUAAGUUAUAUAAAUGUCUAAUUACUAUGUUGUACACAUGGAACUAAUAUAAUGUUGUAUGUCAAUU